CCGGUGAGCGAAGAAGGCCCUAUGGGUUGUAAAGCUCUGUCAGAUUGGGAAGAAAGCUCCGAGGUUAAUACCCUCGGAGUGUGACGGUACCAUCAGAGGAAGCACCGGCUAACUCCGUGCCAGCAGCCGCGGUAAUACGGAGGGUGCAAGCGUUGUUCGGAUUCACUGGGUAUAAAGGGUGCGCAGGCGGCCGUGUAAGUCAGAGGUGAAAUAUGACGGCUCAACCGUCAAACUGCCUCUGAGACUGCUCGGCUUGAGUCCGGGAGAGGAAGGUGGAAUUCCUGGUGUAGCGGUGAAAUGCGUAAAUAUCAGGAGGAACACCGGUGGCGAAGGCGGCCUUCUGGCCCGGUACUGACGCUCAUGCACGAAAGCCAGGGGAGCGAACGGGAUUAGAUACCCCGGUAGUCCUGGCCGUAAACGAUGGGCACUAGGUGUUGGAGGAGUCUACCCCUUCAGUGCCGCAGCUAAUGCAUUAAGUGCCCCACCUGGGGAGUACGAUCGCAAGGUUG
rnacentral:rRNA from 1 species